UUGCUUGUUUUGGCAGCACGUAUACCGAAAUUGGAAUGUUAGAGAGAAGAUUAGCAUGGCCCGGAGCAACAAUGACACACAAAUUCGUGAAGUGUUCCUUAAUUUU
ensembl:snRNA U6 U6 spliceosomal RNA